rnacentral:rRNA from 1 species
GGUUAAGCGACUAAGCGUACACGGUGGAUGCCCUGGCAGUCAGAGGCGAUGAAGGGCGUGCUAAUCUGCGAUAAGCGCCGGUAAGGUGAUAUGAACCGUUAUAACCGGCGAUACCCGAAUGGGGAAACCCAGUGUGACUCGUCACACUAUCAUUAACUGAAUCCAUAGGUUAAUGAGGCGAACCGGGGGAACUGAAACAUCUAAGUACCCCGAGGAAAAGAAAUCAACCGAGAUUCCCCCAGUAGCGGCGAGCGAACGGGGAGGAGCCCAGAGCCUGAAUCAGCAUGUGUGUUAGUGGAAGCGUCUGGAAAGGCGCGCGAUACAGGGUGACAGCCCCGUACACAAAAGCGCAUGUGCUGUGAGCUCGAUGAGUAGGGCGGG